CGAACGGGUGAGUAAUGCGUGACCAACCUGCCCCAUGCUCCAGAAUAGCUCUUGGAAACGGGUGGUAAUGCUGGAUGCUCCAACUUGACGCAUGUCUUGUUGGGAAAGUGUUUAGUGGCAUGGGAUGGGGUCGCGUCCUAUCAGCUUGUAGGCGGGGUAAUGGCCCACCUAGGCUUCGACGGGUAGCCGGCCUGAGAGGGCGGACGGCCACAUUGGGACUGAGAUACGGCCAAGACUCCUACGGGAGGCAGCAGAC
rnacentral:rRNA from 1 species